rnacentral:piRNA from 1 species
UGGUGUUGAUGAGGUGGUCCCGGGGA